AAAUUAUUGUUUAUGUAAUCUAAAGUUUAGAAAAGGUUGUACCUGAGACGAAAUCCGGGCGGCAGCAGCCAUCGGAGGCUGGGCGGCAGCCGCCAGCCUCCCGCUCGCACGGGAGCCACACACGGACACCACGCUGCGUUCACUCGCAACCGUGGCCCGUGGCCCGUGGGUUUCGCCUGUGGUCACCGCGAGGCCGCAUCCAGUCGCCCAUGCCGCCUUCCGCAUCGAUGCCGGCGACGCACACGGCCGUGUACGUGGCGGCGGUGCCCCUGCGGGCGCCCAAGGGCCCCGCCCAGCUGCUGAUGUCGGCGGGCUACUCGCUGGGCAUGUGGGACCUGCAGCACUUCAUGGUGCUCCUCCGUCCCGACCCGGCGCUGGCCCAGGCGCUGGUCUUCGAUUUCCAGCCGCGGGACCCGGAGGACGUCCUCGCCGCGCUCGCGGUGCUGUCGCGGAGAGAGAUCCCUGGCGUGGUUCGCAGAAGAACGCUGCGGAGGGUCCCGGACGGGCGGUGCUGGCUCGUGGGGCACUGCUGCGACGCCGUCGGUGCCGCCACAAGGUUCAGCGAGCGGUGGACGACCGGCCUGGUGGUCGGGGAGCACGACUGCCGGGACUACACCAACGGUAAUCUGUCAGCACUCUCAUAGUCGUCGCCAUUGCAAAAUCGUUGUGUAGUGCGAUCCGUCUCAUAUAUCCUCUCUUUGUUUGGUGGAUCGCUAAGGGCUGGUCGAGGUCCUGACAGGUGAAAAACGUGUCCUGGAGUCGCUCAGAUUGCGCGGCAACGGCAGCAGCACCAGUGGGGCGGCGCCGCCGUGAUGGAUGAUCUAAACUGUACGGACUACGGUCAUAUAUCGGAUUCUAUAAACUGGAGACCCAACACGCAAUGCAGAAAUUUCAUGGAAACGAGGAGACGUUUUGAAAGGGAAAAAAAAUGAGGAGAGAAAACAAAGAAGCUACUACUCAAGACAAGGCGAUGGUGUAACGAAGAAAUGAGGCCACUUGACUAGUUGACUGUGAAAGAUACUAGAGGUGCUACGUGAAGCAAGAAAUUAGACACGCUAUGUGGAGAAGCACCGUUGACUAAGUAAACUUAGGAGGUGUUUGGUUUGAAGAAAUCAAUCUAUUCUAAAUGAGGUGGUAUAUCAUGAGUCUAUUAUACAAAUUUUGUGGAAUAAACUUAUUCUUUAUAUUAUUACUAAUUAUUAGCCCA